GCUCCUAUGGCUCAGUUGGUAGAGCGUUCAGUCUCAUAAUCUGAAGGUCGCCAGUUCGAUCCUGGCUGGGAGCA